AAUUAUACCGUGAAACUGCGAAUGGCUCAUUAAAUCAGUUAUCGUUUAUUUGAUAGUACCUUACUACUUGGAUAACCGUGGUAAUUCUAGAGCUAAUACAUGCUAAAAACCCCAACUUCGGGAGGGGUGUAUUUAUUAGAUAAAAAACCAACGCCCUUCGGGGCUUCUUGGUGAUUCAUGAUAACUUAACGGAUCGCAUGGCCUUGCGCCGGCGACGGUUCAUUCAAAUUUCUGCCCUAUCAACUUUCGAUGGUAAGGUAUUGGCUUACCAUGGUUUCAACGGGUAACGGGGAAUUAGGGUUCGAUUCCGGAGAGGGAGCCUGAGAAACGGCUACCACAUCCAAGGAAGGCAGCAGGCGCGCAAAUUAUCCAAUCCCGACACGGGGAGAUAGUGACAAUAAAUACUGAUACAGGGCUCUUUUGGGUCUUGUAAUUGGAAUGAGUACAAUUUAAACCUCUUAACGAGGAACAAUUGGAGGGCAAGUCUGGUGCCAGCAGCCGCGGUAAUUCCAGCUCCAAUAGCGUAUAUUAAAGUUGUUGCAGUUAAAAAGCUCGUAGUUGAACCUUGGGUCUGGCUGGCAGGUCCGCCUCACCGCGUGUACUUGUCCGGCCGGGCCUUCCUUCUGGAGAACCUCAUGCCCUUCACUGGGCGUGUUGGGGACCAGGACUUUUACUUUGAAAAAAUUAGAGUGUUCAAAGCAGGCCUUUGCUCGAAUACGUUAGCAUGGAAUAAUAGAAUAGGACGUGCGGUCCUAUUUUGUUGGUUUCUAGGACCGCCGUAAUGAUUAAUAGGGACAGUCGGGGGCAUCAGUAUUCAAUUGUCAGAGGUGAAAUUCUUGGAUUUAUUGAAGACUAACUACUGCGAAAGCAUUUGCCAAGGAUGUUUUCAUUAAUCAGUGAACGAAAGUUAGGGGAUCGAAGACGAUCAGAUACCGUCGUAGUCUUAACCGUAAACUAUGCCGACUAGGGAUCGGGCGAUGUUCUUUUUCUGACUCGCUCGGCACCUUACGAGAAAUCAAAGUUUUU
rnacentral:rRNA from 1 species